AGAACGAACGCUGGCGGCAUGCCUAACACAUGCAAGUCGAACGAGACCUUCGGGUCUAGUGGCGCACGGGUGCGUAUCGCGUGGGAACCUGCCCUUAGGUUCGGAAUAACUCCUCGAAAGGGGUGCUAAUACCGGAUGAUGUCUUCGGACCAAAGAUUUAUCGCCUAUGGAUGGGCCCGCGUUGGAUUAGCUAGUUGGUGAGGUAAAGGCUCACCAAGGCGACGAUCCAUAGCUGGUCUUAGAGGAUGAUCAGCCACACUGGGACUGAGACACGGCCCAGACUCCUACGGGAGGCAGCAGUGGGGAAUAUUGGACAAUGGGCGAAAGCCUGAUCCAGCAAUGCCGCGUGAGUGAUGGAAGGCCUUAAGGGUUGUAAAGCUACUUUUACCCGGGAUGAUAAUGACGAGUACCGGAGAAGUAACGCCCCGGACUAACCGUCCGCGCCAGCACGCCGC
rnacentral:rRNA from 1 species